UGGGGGAAAGCCAUACCUCAGUGGUGCAGCAUCUGCUUUGCAUGCAGCAGGUCCCGGGUUCAAUCCCCAGCACCCCCAG